rfam:Alphaproteobacteria bacterium 41-28 SCNpilot_cont_1000_p_scaffold_1825, whole genome shotgun sequence.
GGGCAAGAUAGGUGAAGUUGGCCAACUUCACAGUUCCUUAUUCGCGCUUGGAGCGCUCAACGGAAAUUUUGAUCUAAGAAGUA